UACGAAGGGGGCGAGCGUUGUUCGGAUUUACUGGGCGUAAAGGGCGCGCAGGCGGCCGCUCAAGUCAGGCGUGAAGGCCCCGGGCUUAACCUGGGAACUGCGUCUGGGACUGAGUGGCUAGAGUUCGGGAGAGGAGAGUGGAAUUCCCAGUGUAGAGGUGAAAUUCGUAGAUAUUGGGAAGAACACCGGUGGCGAAGGCGGCUCUCUGGACCGAGACUGACGCUGAGGCGCGAAAGCGUGGGGAGCAAACAGG
rnacentral:rRNA from 1 species